UACGAAGGGGGCUAGCGUUGCUCGGAAUUACUGGGCGUAAAGGGAGCGUAGGCGGACAUUUAAGUCAGGGGUGAAAUCCCGGGGCUCAACCUCGGAAUUGCCUUUGAUACUGGGUGUCUUGAGUAUGAGAGAGGUGUGUGGAACUCCGAGUGUAGAGGUGAAAUUCGUAGAUAUUCGGAAGAACACCAGUGGCGAAGGCGACACACUGGCUCAUUACUGACGCUGAGGCUCGAAAGCGUGGGAGCAAACAGG
rnacentral:rRNA from 1 species